rnacentral:lncRNA from 1 species
GCGAACUUAUUCGAAUAAGUUCGGGAUGUAACGCUGGUGACACAUUUCUGACGCGGUGGAGAUUGGUGUGUGUCGCCGGCCGAACUGGCGAUGCGGCUAUCUGUGUGGGCGAGAACACCGGUCGCUAGGUUUUCGGAAUCGCGGUAUGUCGCAUAUGCACAAGAACGUGUUGUGCAUCGUCCGUCAUGUGCUGUGUUGACGAUGAACAAUGCGUGAAACAGGUGCUGUUCCGCGAAGAUAUGUCCAUGCCUCCCAGAGAAUGACCAAGGAGCUAUGUUGUUUGGAUGUUACCAGGAAUCCAGCUACCGGCUUUUGAGAAAACCCCCAGCUGAUAUCUUUAUUUCGUUCCUUGCAGUCGGAGUCCCUGGAGCAGGAGCAAUCGCUUGUGUCCAUGCUUGGCCGGCUGCAUUGCUGUCGUCUGUGCACAUACUCGACUAUGAGCAGCAGCCACAUGAAAUCACAUCUACUAAGACACACGGGCAAGCGCCCUUUCCAGUGCCAGCUGUGCCCGAACGGAUUCACUCAAAGGUUUCACCUUAAUCGGCAUAUGCGCGUCCAUACAGGAGAGCGCCCCUUUUCCUGUGACCGCUGCAGUGCGACCUUUUCACAUAAACAUCACCUCAUCGGUCACAUGUCCCAUCAUGCAAAGAGGAAACGCUAAAGGUCAGAGUGUGCAGUUUUUAAGGCAAAAGCCUUAGAUGCCUCAUAAAAUGCGAAUAACUGACCAUCGGCGGCGUCAACACGAGUGAUGCAAAAAUAUCAUCAUAUGAUGUAACCAUAUGAUGUCACUGUGACGUCACUGUAACAUCGCAUAAUGUGGCAUAACUUAAUGGCAUCAUUACAUGACAUCAUCGCUUUGUCAAAGGUGGGCCGAUCACAGAGGCAGUGCAAGACAGGCGAGGUGCAGAAAGCUUGCAAUGCCUCUGAUCCUGGAGGCGUUGCAUAACCACGUUAGUUGCAGAAAGCUUUCGGAAGUGGGCCAGGGAGGAUCAAUGCAUCGACUGAGAAGAAAAAGAUAGCUUUUGUCUUUGAGUCAUCUUAGGCGAAUGCAUAAGAGACCCAGCGAGUUUUGUAAGAUCGGAAAAUAGACUGAUGUUUUAAUGGCAAUAGGGGAUGCAUAAACUGUGAGAGCUUCCCAGCUUCACCAAGCAUAACUGUUAUGUGAGGGCAAGUACACUUCACUGUCUAUGAAAAUAUUUCAUUUAAAGGGCCCCUCAUGAAGUACCACUGCUAAUUUCUCAUUAUGCAUGAGAAACUGCAAGGUACCAUCUAGGGAGUAAAACUUUUUUUUAAAAUUGCUGUACUUUGAUGCAAGAAAAACGACAGUUGUGGAAAAAGUUCAAUAAUAAAAAAACAUCUUUUUUU